rnacentral:ncRNA from 1 species
GCGUAGGCGAAAAUCAUUUUACUACAUACAUAUAAAAUUCAAUUACCCCAAUUUGUAUAAUAUUAAAUUAUGGCUAUCUGCAGUUAAUGCCGUGAGACAUGGUUAAUUCUUUUAAUGAACCCAAACCCUAACUUUCUUUAUUUCUCUAUAUAAAGUAACUUGCUAAAAAUUGGUUAGAGAAUAGGGACCAAGACAGGUCAUCAUGACCAUAAAUAAUAUUAUGGGCUAUAGACGUACCACACACGCCUUAACAAAAGGAUGCUAUAUUGUAAAAUGGAGCUAAUCCUUAAAACAUAAUAUAAUAUGAGGUGUUGUCUGUAACUCGACAACAGGGACAAAAAAGUACUAGUGAUCGUGAAUCAUCACGCCACGGUGAGU